AUUGAACGCUGGCGGCAGGCCUAACACAUGCAAGUCGAGCGGUAGAGAGAAGCUUGCUUCUCUUGAGAGCGGCGGACGGGUGAGUAAUGCCUAGGAAUCUGCCUAGUGGGGGGGGAUAACGUUCGGAAACGGACGCUAAUACCGCAUACGUCCUACGGGAGAAAGCGGGGGAUCUUCGGACCUCGGGCCAUUAGAUGAGCCUAGGUAGGAUUAGCUAGUUGGUGAGGUAAUGGCUCACCAAGGCGACGAUCCGUAACGGGUGUGAGAGGAUGAGCAGUCACACUGGAACUGAGACAAGGACCAGGCUCCUACGGGAGGCAGCAGUGGGGAAUAUUGGACAAUGGGCGAAAGCCUGAUCCAGCCAUGCCGCGUGUGUGGAGAAGGUCUUCGGAUUGUAAAGCACUUUAAGUUGGGAGGAAGAGCAGUAACCUAAUACGUUAUUGUUUUGACGUCACCGACAGAAUAAGCACCGGCUAACUUCGUGCCAGCAGCCGCAGUAAUAC
rnacentral:rRNA from 1 species